AACGCGAAGUAACCUUACCCGGCCUUGACAUCUACGGAAUUCUUCAGAGAUGAGGAAGUGCCUUCGGGAGCCGUAAGACAGGUGCUGCAUGGCUGUCGUCAGCUCGUGUCGUGAGAUGUUGGGUUAAGUCCCGCAACGAGCGCAACCCUUGUCCUUAGUUGCCAUCAUUCAGUUGGGAACUCUAAGGAGACCGCCGGUGACAAACCGGAGGAAGGUGGGGAUGACGUCAAGUCAUCAUGGCCUUUAUGGCCGGGGCUACACACGUGCUACAAUGGCAGGUACAGAGGGAAGCCAACUCGCGAGAGGGAGCCAAUCCCAGAAAGCCUGUCGUAGUCCGGAUCGGAGUCUGCAACUCGACUCUGUGAAGUCGGAAUCGCUAGUAAUCGCAGAUCAGCAUUGCUGCGGUGAAUACGUUCCCGGGUCUUGUACACACCG
rnacentral:rRNA from 1 species